GACAGAGGUGCCAAGCGUUAGGCGGAAUCACUGGGCUUAAAGCGUGUGUAGGCGGAUCGUUAAGUACCUUGUGAAAUCCCACGGCUCAACCGUGGAACUGCUGGGUAUACUGGCGAUCUUGAGCCACCUAGGGGCGAGCGGAACAAGCGGUGGAGCGGUGAAAUGCGUAGAUAUCGCUUGGAGCGCCAAUGGUGAAAACAGCUCGCUGGGGGUGUGCUGACGCUGAGACACGAAAGCCAGGGGAGCGAACGGG
rnacentral:rRNA from 1 species